GAUGCUUAAGGCCGGUAGAAAAAAAUAUGAACUUGUCAAUUGUUGUUCCUAGGAGGCCAGGUCAGAGCCGAAUCACCACCCCAAGAAAAGAAACUGACACAUGCAGAAUAGCAUCGGGAAUUGCUGAUGGGAUUACCACUGGAUCUCCAAUCAAGGUAGAAGUGCCCAACACGGAUCAGAGAGGAAAUUUGCUUGGCAGCUUUGAUUCAACGACUACACUCAAAUAAUCAUACAUGGUAUUUGCAGUGGAUGUAAUCGUUCCAUUGUAUCUUAUUAUAUUUGAAAGAGCUGAUAUGAUCUUGCACUUAUUUUGUGAAACAUUUGUGGUAAUACUCUGUUCCCAAAUGCUGUGCGCUGUCAUCAUGACUCCCUCACAUUCAAGGAC